GCUAGAGUAGGAAAGUGGUGACACCUGUUCCCUGCCUCCUGGAGCCCUGUCAUCCUGUCCCCGCCUCCGCGGAGGCAGGGAGCAGGUUCCCUCUGGAGCUAGGUGUUGGGGGUGAGUGCUGUGCCCUGGCUGGCCUGGCCUUACUUCCUUGGCGUGGGGCCGCGCAGGAGAGGAUUCACAAGGAGAAGGUCAGGUAGGCUGGCGCCUGUGCGCAAAAGCCCACGUUGCGAUUCCCCAGGACAAGGUACUCUCCUGCCCCAUCUGUGCUUCUCAAACAAACACUGCUGCUGUGAUUUGCCAUCAGCCAGUGGGAGGUCUGGGCCUCGCCUUGCCUGCUCUGGAUGUGUGCACAUGGGUCAGUUAGCACUGUGCUCCAUCAUGGGUGCAGUGGGGAGGGGACUGGGGCUUUUCCUGGGGACUGGAACAGUGGUGAUCUUGACUCAAUGCCAGAAUGAGUGGCACCUGUGGAAACCAGACACUGAUGGUUUACUGGGCCACGAAUGAGGUGACUGUUCUUACAGAAAUCCAGCCUACCCAGGAGAACAAAACCUUUAACCCUAAACACCAGGGCCUCCAUUCACAACCCAAACCCAUGUGUUUUUCAUUGAUGGAGUUGCGAAAGUCAGGCAGAGGGAUGCAUAAACUCAGCUGAGCCCGUUAGCAGGAGGAUGAGUGACUGAUCUGCAGGCAGCUUUGCAGAUGCAGCCGCGAGGCUCAGGCUGCUGUGCUGCUGCGUGGGGGGUCCGUGUGGAUCUGAGGUGGCUCUCCUCAGUGUCCUCAGGUACGAAGUGGGGACAGAGAUGUGUGGUGACACUCUGCAAUUCGGGGUCUCAGGAGCUGUUUGCUUUCCUGCUGUUUUUAGAAGCAUAGGGACAAACUCUCCAGUAAGCACUGAGGCUGACCUGCAGGUACCGUAGGUUCUGCCUCCAAGACAAGCGCCCUGAGGAUUGGUUGCUCAUCCAAAGCCAUCGGAUGUGCACCUGUGAGACGCCAGCCUGCAUGAGGAGCUGGGGAGGGGCUGGGGGCAAGGUGGCUGCGGUCCUUGUCCCCAUUAGGAAAUGAGGGAGCAGGUGGCUGGGGCCUGCGAAUUGUCUCAGAAGCAGUGCGAGAGGGAAGGAGCCACACUCGGAGUCAGCAAAGCAUCUGGGGUUGUCAACAUGACACAGUGCUCAGCUGAAUUCUGGUCUGAUUGAAAAAGAAUCCUGACACUUAGCAUUCUGUCCACACAGCCAGGUGUCCCCCAAAGUGUCCAGAUGGCUGCUGUAAGUGGUGGCGCUCCCCGAGUGACUUGGGUGUCCACGUGUACCUGCAGCGAGUCAGGCCCAGAGGAGGAGGUCUGUGCAGACCACCCUGUGGGGCUUGCAUGCUGUCAUCUGCAGAGGAAGGCCAAGACACUCCUUUCUGGGGAGCUGCUGCCCUUGUACAGACCCUGGGACGGCGCCCUGAGUUCCUAACCCAGCCCCUGACAGUUAGGGCAAUGUUUUCCUUGACAAUAGAGAUUUUGUCCUCUGUGGAAAAGGAAGUCAAACGUGACAAGCUGCAACUGAAACUUCGCAGAGACUUUUGAAGUUUCUUUAGCUGCAGCUGAGCUCAGUGCUGCCUGCUCCCGCCUUGCCUUGCCUGCAAUUUAGGAGAUAACCUGCUGUGGUUCACCAGGGACCUUGGUGCUUUCAGGAUGUGAGGCUUUCUUCCUGUUUUGUUUUGUUUUGUGGCCCUAGGGAUUGAACCUGGAGUCUUUACACUGAGACACAUCCCCAGCCCUUUUAAAAAGACUAUUUUGAGGCAGGGUCUUGCUGACUUGCUAGUUUACCCUGGCUGGGCUUGAAUGUGUGAUCGUCCUGCCUCUGCUUCCCAGAGUGCUGGGAGUACAGGUGAGUGCCACCGUGCCUGCCUGGUCAGGAACUCAGAACUUCUGGUGCCCAAGUCAGAAAAGCUCUAGCUGAGCACAUAGAGCAUUACUGGAGCAGGAGAACCAUUUUCCAUUCCGAGGAAACACGGUGAGUAGUUCUGCCCUUCCUCCAUCCUGUCCACACUGUCCUGGCGCCAGUCGUGCACCACUGCUGCUGACUGGCCUGAAGCUAGCAGGGGCUGCUGUGACUUGCGGGUGUUUGGGGCUCACCGAUCCUUGAGUGACCUCAGGCUUCAGGAUCCGUGGUGCACAUGAAGGAGGGGCGUGGACCCUGAGUUGGAGUCCUGGCUGCCCCUGGAGCUCCCUGCCCUUGGGCGUGGCUCAGAGGACAUAGAGGAGCCGAGCUCCAAUAAGCAUAUCACCUGGCAAACGAGCCCACACAGAAGCUCUGAGGACCCCAGGCAGCAGCCUGCGUCUGCGGUUCAGGGGAUGGGCAAGGCCAGCAUGGUACCUUGCUUGGGUGGAUCAAGGAAGCAGUUACAGCCUUCCAAGCCUGCUUAUCCCCAAAAUGGACAGGAAGGCCCUUUAUCUCCUUGGGCCCCGAGCCAGGGGAAAUUCCAAGCUGAAAAAUUCCAAGCAAAGGCUGCAUGUAUUCAAAAUUCUUACAAGUUGCACUGUAUUGAUCUCCCAAAAAGAUACUCCAAAUUAUACUUCUGUUAAUAAGUAAUGAAUGAGCGUACCUGUCUUUGACUCUAAUACUCCUAAAUUUACGAUGAUGCAUCAAAGACAGCACUUCACUUAAACUUCGGGUAUAGUCCUCUUUCAGGCUUCGUGGAGCAGAACGGCCCCCAGGAGCCCUGUGGUUGCCAUGAUCCGCUUAUGCUUCAAGUCCCUGACAUAAAAUAGCAUAGAGUUUGUGUGUAACUUGGACAAUCACCCCAGGUCUUGUAAAUCUUCUCUAGGUUACUUGUGAUGCCUGAUGUCACGUAGAUACUGUGGUAAAUGGAUGUUACCCCGUGUUAUUUAGGGAAUAAGAGGAAAAAAAAUCUGCUCCCAUUCAGUAAGGCUGGUGCCUUUCCCGACCUUCUCUUCCAGUGUUGGCAAAUGAAGAGCUUGAUGUUUGGGGUUAUGCGGCUCAACUGCAUUCCCCUUUAAGUGAGGUUGAGCAUCUUCUCAAGUACUUGGCCAUGUUUGUUUCUGGUUCCACAAGAACUACCUGUUUGGCCUUUUGCACAUAUUUCAAUGAGUUGGUCAUCUUUUUUCUAUUCAGUAUUAGGGAAAAGCCAGAUUUUCUGGAAUUCUAGUUCCAUUGUUUGGUUUUGGGGGAGAUUCUUGACCUCCAUGGGAUUUGUUCUUUCUUUCCACCUGUGGAAUGGGAAUGGAUUGUCCUGCUUUCUGAGGUGUAGAGGGGCCUCUGGAUGUUAUCAGUGCCUGGUGGGCACCAGGCUCCCUCUGCCUGCAGAGCAGCCAUGGCUCCCAAGGUGUCUGGCACCCAAGGAGCUUGAGCAGAGGCAUCUGAGAAGUGCAGCCUCUCCAUGAGAGGAGGCUGGCAGUGGCGGAGAAGAAACACUUCUCUAUGCUGCAUCUGCUCAGAACUGCUGCCCAGGCCGUGGCUGCCAGGGCAGUGCCCUCAAGCUAUUUUCAUAACUUGUGAUUCCCGGUAAGAAGCAGAGGUUUUAGUGUCAUGACUGAGUCCACGCACACUGCAGGCCCCUGGAACAACACCAGCCCUCAAGUUUCAGGAUGUGAUGCUCACAGUGUGUAGGGUCCUCCAACACAGUGACUGAAUUUGGGUUUUAAGAAGUUCUUCUCAAUUUCACAGCCUUCCACUGAGCAGUUCAGAGAAAGAGGCUCUCCAGGGCCUGUGCAGAUCUGGCCCUCAGGAGCAGCAUACCAGCCGGGUUCUCUCUCUGGGUCUUCAGAAUUCCUAGAGGCUCAGCCUGGGCUUUCUCCAGCUGUGCCUUGUGUCCUUGGUAGCCACUGGGAAGUGGCCUGUUGGGUCCAUUGUGCUGCUUAUUGGGGACCUAGCCAAGAACCCCAACUGCCUAUAUAUGGGAUACAGCAAAGACUAAAAUAAGAAACACAAAUUUAGUAAUGCACGUUGGGGGGCUGGGAGGUCAAUGCCUUAGGAUGGGCAAAGACCCAGACACCCCAAACUAGCCACUAUUCAUUGGGUGUGUAUGAUUCAAUGAGUAUAGUCAGUGAUAGGAGUUAGCAGAAGAUUCUAGGUUGGCAAGGAUUCAGAGGUGGAUGACACUGCAGGCAACAGAUAAUCCUUGGAAGACUCAAGAGGGUGGAGAUGAUUUUAUGCUAAGAGGAACCUCGUUCUAGGUGUCCUUUUUAAUCUUAGUAGUUUUAGUUUAGUCUUAGUGGGAGACGUGGUUCCUCCCAAGAGUUAAUGGGAAGACUCCAAAGGCUGACACCAUAAUCCUAAGCCUCCAUUUAUCCCUUAGGGAAGGAUGCAAAAUUUGCCAUUGUGAAUUUGUGGUCCCUAAUACUGCUCAUCUGCUAAUCCUGCCUCCCACCAAUUUAGAUUGGUGGGUGCUUGGAAGGAGCGCAUCAGGGUAGGUCUUGGGGAGGGAAGCGUGGCAGUGAUUCUGCCUUCCCAGCUUUCCCUAGGCAGAUGUGUGACCUCGCUUCACCUCCACCUGUCCUUUCAGAGAGGAAGAAUGGCCAGAGGGUCCCCUGUGGGAAAGAGACUGAGUGUGCCUACCUCCAUCACCCCUUCUGCUCAUGCAGCCACAGGGUUCCUCUCUCUGCUCCUUAGGGUGGAUCCUGACCCUGGGGUUCCCACAGGCCCAUGUGUCUGUCCAGCCCAGCUUUGCCCCUGCUCAUAGCAUUUACCAGCAUUGAAGUGGCCACUAUCCUCCUACCCAACUUUUACACAGGUCCUGUACUCUGUUCUGGUGUGGAUGAAGGAGCCCUGGUGGCUGGGUCAUGAAGCAGAGGCCUCUCCUUCCCUUUGGCUCUAGUGCCAGUGCUCUGCCAGGCAGAGUUACCCAGGCAAGAGUGCCAGCACACCCCACUGGAAGGACAACAGGGCCACCUCCCUCCCACUGGCACCCCAUGAGUGCUGCCUGGAGUGGGGUGGGAAGGGGAAUCAUCUUCCAGGCUUUAGUGGGGCAGGAAAUCCUGGUCAGUUUCAUGGUCACUUCCACGCAGUUUGCCGAAGACUUGUGCUCCCAAAGCCUCCAAAUAUGGAAUUACAAGGCCACUGGGCUGGGGCUGAGCGCCCAAAACAGAAACAUUUACCAAAUAUGCAAACACACUUGGUGUGAAUGCUCAGGACAGGGCAGUUUAUGUGUUGUCCCCUGUAGGGAUUAAGGCAGUGGUCAGCGUCUGGACCACAGUGGUGGUGCACACAUUCUGAGAGGGGUGACACUGGGUACUGAGAGGGAGGAGGCCGCUCCUAUGGUGGCUGCAGGUGCAAGUCUGAGCUGCAGUCAGCUCUGGCUCACGCCUCUGGGCCGGUGUACUCUGGGAUUUUGUGCAGCCAACCCAGCUUCUCUGGGCUCAGCCUCCUUUCUGGAAAAGAGAGACAGCUGUGUCCUGCGGCUGCCAUGAAUCUGAGGUGAGGUAGUGUGUCAGGUCCUCAUUACAUGUUAGUACUCCUGCCCCUUGAACGAUGGUAUUUUUGUUAAGCCUUAGGGUUCUCCCAGGUCUCACAUCCUGCCCCAGGAAGUUUUCCCAUGUCCUGGUGGUGCAGAGAAAUUGGAUCCGCACGCUCCCCUCUGUGUGCACCGAAAGCAUGGAGACGUUGCUCCGAGGACCUGUUGGAUGUUCACUUUCCUGCAGGCGGUAGUGCCACAGAGCAUCUGCUGCUUGAGGCAUCCCCUCUGCCAGGCCUUUGCUCAUUCCUGCUGCCCAGGCCAGUCUUGGAGAUGGUAUUGAUCCACUUGACAGCAGAGACCAGUGCAUUGUAGUGGCUUUGCUAUAAAAUGUUUGCAUAAAUAUUUUCUCAUUUAGUUGUCAAACAACUCUGUGUGUAUGAGUGUGUGAUUAUUACAUCAACAUCCUUCUUCAGCUUUACAGAUGGGUAAACUGAGUCUCAGAGGAAUCAAGCAAAGGUAAGGAACCAAUGAUGUAGUUCCCGGCCAUAUUUUGCAAUUCUGAAUCUACAAUGUGCGGUGGUCACACUGGGUAUAGAAGCAGGGGCUGUGACAGGGCUCCCAUCUCAUUCUUUACCUUCUUUGUGCUUAGUUUUCCAUGGGGAUCCCCACAGAAGUCUCAGGGUUUAGGUAUCUAUUGGACCCAUUGCUCAGUGAGGAAAGUCACUGAGGACUCGAGUUGGUGAUGGUUUUUCAGCUUGAGGUCAGACUCAAAAGCAACUUUAGGUGGUGCUGAUUCCUGUAGGCACUGGGAUUUCCUUUAGUGAUUUGUGUGUGUGUGUGUGUGUGUGUGUGUGUGUGUGUGUGUGUGGCUCUUCCAUAGGCUAGGCUCUGUGCAGGGUUGUGGAGACCCUUAGUCCUUCCUACAGGGGCUGAGGCAAACUUCUAUUUAAUCUUGCAUUCACAGCAGAAGAAAGAUAUGGGCCUAAGGAAGGUACAGGGGACUUUGAAUUGUUUACUUGACUUAAUUAAGAGCUGGUGAACAAAUUAGCAAAGCACACAUUUGAGUGUGUCUGGGUGGUUUGUGGGGUAUGACCGUGGGCACUGUCUGGUCCCUGUCCCUUCCUCUUUGGUGCUCUUUCUGCUCUGCUUCCUGGCCACCAUGAACUAAGCAGCUUUGCUCCACCAUCCCCAUUUGCUGUGAAGUUCCUGCCUUGGAGCAGCCAACCAUGGACUGAAUCCGCAGGAACUGUGCGCCAGGCGCUGUGCGAUUCUCACUGAUGUUAUUAGCUGGGAUCUGCAAAUAGUAACUCUGGCAUCGCCAUCAUCGUGGACAGCAGACGAUAGACACUGCUGAGUAAUCCUCAAGGUUUCUCUGCAAGUCCUUCAGAGUAAACAGUGAGAGAGCGUUCCCUGGCUGCGAGGGCUUUCAGUAAACUCUGCUUUGGCGCCCACACCGGAGCCUCCCACGAACUCCACUCCAGUGUUCAGUCUCAUCUGCUGGCUUGGUUUUCUGAGCUGGAACAGCAAAAGGGACAGAGCUGCAGCGCCUGGCGCUGUGAGGCUGUCAAAAGCAAGCAGGCAGCACCCUUUGACGUCAGGCGCCAUUUGGAAGGUGCUGCGCAGUGAAGACAGCAUUGCCUUCAAAGUUUGAACACAGAAGUUGAAAGGGAAGUGUGGGAAUUGGAGCAGCCACAGAUUGUGAUGUGGUGAGGAGGAAGAGAUGGGGACAGGGUGAGCACAGGGGUGUCCCUGUCUCUUCCAGGGGAAGAGGGUGGGGAUGGUGUGAGCAUAGGACAAUAGCUAUCGCUUCCAAGCAAGAACCCCACAGUAGCAGGACAGACACUGGCAGCACCAGCUCCUUGUUAGAUGCUCCUGGCCCUAACAGGCAUCUCCUGCCCCCCUGGGAGUCUGAUUUAACUGUGGUAGUGAGAUGGGGCCUGGGCGUGGUAUCUGAGUGUGGUGCCACCUGCAGCUGGCUGGCUGGUUCUCUCUUGACAGGCAGGACUGCACCUGAGGCUUCUCGAAGCAAAGCUUGAGUCAUGGUCCUUCUGUUGCAGGGAGAGGAGUUGGGGAGGGGACAGGAGGAUGGUCUAUGACAAGGGAGAGAGCAGCUAGCAGGGGCUGGAGCUGAGACGCCAACACCUGGCUGGGCAGUGGGUGACACUGUCCUGGGCAGGAGCCCCGGUGCACCCCAGGGAGAAGGCAGCAAGGCAGAAGGGCAGCGAGGCAAGGGCUUACCGUGCAAGGUUGCAGGGUACGUGUCAGCCCGAGGGCAAAGGGAGACGCUGUGGUGGUUUUAGCAGGGUUGGUGGCAUUUGGAUAUAUCGCACAUACCCACACACUCACAUACAGAUCUACAUGGAUGAUCAGAAUAUGCAGUGAAUGUUUAAAGCAAACAAAACUUAUCACAACGGGAGACACAUUGCCAUAAUCUCCCUUAUGACACCCCACUCUCUGAGAACACUCUGGUCCCAUUGUCCUUGCCACUUCUGGAGCAGUGCUAGAAGUCUCUUUGGUGAGUGUUUUUGUGAGGUAUAAUCGCACAACUACAGCCAAUGCUGCUUCCGUGUGCCGCCCAGUGGAAUGGCAGCUCCUAAAACAUGCUGCCGUGUCCUCACCCACCUUAUCACUGUGCUGGCAUCAUGGGACUUCUAGCUCGUCCCCAAAGUCAAAAUGACCACAGGAGGGAAACAUUUUGAAUCAAUUCAGGAUGGUGAGGCAGCUGUAGACCUUCAGGAAAGAGGACUCCAGAACUGCUUCAGAAAGUGGUAAGGAUGAGGGGAUGAGUGCAUUCAAAGCAUGCAUGCAGGAAGAAGGGCCCACGGUCCCAGGCCAGCUGAAAGCCUUGUUAUACUCAUUUUCCUCCAGAACCUCUGAUCAUGAUGGUGUCGCUGUGGUCACAAGGUCCCCAGGCUGAUCUGCUGGGUGUCCAACAGGUGGCUUCCUGCCCCUCUGCCUGCUCUGCUGCCCCUGAGCUUCUGUGCCACCGCCUGGUGUGUGUGUCCUGCUCCUCUUGCAAAGCCCUGUGGUUCAGGACGGACUGAGGGCACCCUGUCCCAGUGGUAGUGUGUCCAGGCACAGGGCAGCCAUAGCGGGGAGAGGCAGCAGGCCAGGCAGUACGUGGCCCGCAGGUCUCACAACAGCACCCUGCGUUUGACACCUGUUCAAGUAUCACAGGCAUUUGCUGGCCCAGGUCUGGACUGUGAAUCCCAGGGAUGUCCAGAGCCUAGCCAGAAGUCUGUUCUUCUCCAAGGGGACUGCAGGGCAGCUCAGCCACCCAGUCCUCUCCACAGAGAAGAGCUAGCAAGCUGGCACCAGGCCCAUUGGCCUCCACUUCACAGAUGUGGCAGAAACCAGAGUUACUGACUCUGUGUUCCAGGAUGUGCUCUACAGAUUGGACUUCGGGGGGAUCUUUUUGCUCUUUUUCUUCUUUAAUGUAAGGUUUGGAUGUGUGCAAUCUCUUUGCAACAGAGUGAAAGCAAAGCUAUAUUUUGAUGACA